UACGAAGGGGGCUAGCGUUGCUCGGAAUCACUGGGCGUAAAGCGCACGUAGGCGGCUUUUUAAGUCAGAGGUGAAAUCCUGGAGCUCAACUCCAGAACUGCCUUUGAUACUGAGAGGCUUGAGUCCGGGAGAGGUGAGUGGAACUGCGAGUGUAGAGGUGAAAUUCGUAGAUAUUCGCAAGAACACCAGUGGCGAAGGCGGCUCACUGGCCCGGUACUGACGCUGAGGUGCGAAAGCGUGGGGAGCAAACAGG
rnacentral:rRNA from 1 species